rnacentral:rRNA from 2 species
CAGUCGAGCGACAGAUGAGAAGCUUGCUUCUCUGAUGUUAGCGGCGGACGGGUGAGUAACACGUGGGUAACCUACCUAUAAGACUGGGAUAACUCCGGGAAACCGGGGCUAAUACCGGAUAAUAUAUUGAACCGCAUGGUUCAAUGUUGAAAGACGGUUUCGGCUGUCACUUAUAGAUGGACCCGCGCCGUAUUAGCUAGUUGGUAAGGUAACGGCUUACCAAGGCAACGAUACGUAGCCGACCUGAGAGGGUGAUCGGCCACACUGGAACUGAGACACGGUCCAGACUCCUACGGGAGGCAGCAGUAGGGAAUCUUCCGCAAUGGGCGAAAGCCUGACGGAGCAACGCCGCGUGAGUGAUGAAGGUCUUAGGAUCGUAAAACUCUGUUGUUAGGGAAGAACAAAUUUGUUAGUAACUGAACAAGUCUUGACGGUACCUAACCAGAAAGCCACGGCUAACUACGUGCCAGCAGCCGCGGUAAUACGUAUGUGGCAAGCGUUAUCCGGAAUUAUUGGGCGUAAAGCGCGCGUAGGCGGUUUCUUAAGUCUGAUGUGAAAGCCCACGGCUCAACCGUGGAGGGUCAUUGUAAACUGGGGGAACUUGAGUGCAGAAGAGAGAGUGAAAUUCCAUGUGUAGCGGUGAAAUGCGCAGAGAUAUGGACGAACACCAGUGGCGAACGCGGCUCUCUGGUCUGUAACUGACGCUGAUGUGCGAUAGCGUGCGGAUCAGACAGGAUCAGCAUACCCUGGUAGUCCACGUCGUUAGACGAUGA